AGCUGCACAUGCUGUGCUGUUAGUGCAAUCCCAGUGUUGAGCAACCCUGCCCUUCCCAGUGACAGCACUGAUGGAUCCAUCCAGGUUGCUUUAUAGGGUCAAUAAUUUGCAGUAAUCAGCUCAGUAGUUGAGCAAGGUAAGAAUCAAACUGACCUCUUCGAGAAGACUGAUUAUUUCAGACAUCAAAAGUGGUCUGAUUCUGCAGUGCUGAAAUUGUGAUUUCAGACAUAGGGUGCCAAGUUCCUGCCCUGUGAAUUGCAAAAUUUUGAAGUGCUGUUUUUUCACCAUCUAGAGUAAUGGGGAAAUAAGAAGAACUUAAAAUGGCAAACCCGAGACUUAACUGAGUAAGGUACAGAUUUAGGGUGUAUAAAAGUGCUGAAAGUAUGGGAAAAUCAAGAGGGAAAGUCACCAAGGAUUGAAGAGCUCCCACUCUGUUGGAAUGGAAAAGUCAUAAGCAAGAGGAACUUCAGCAUUUAUCCGGAUAAAACUCUUCCAGGAUAGAGAAAUUUCUGGCUUUUGGAAGAUUUGUGUAAGGAGAAGAAACAUUUUGUUUCCAUUAGUAGUUGCUCCAAAACACACCAAUGGAUAAAAAGGCCCCAAGAAAAAUAGCUGUUUGAGUCAUCAGGUCACUAUCCUGCUGGAGCUGAUGAACUCUAUUGCCUUCAAACAGAAACAAUCCAGGCUUCAGAGGAGAUCUGUGUCCUUCCUCCACCCUGGCUCCUGCUAGAUGCCCUCACCUGUGUACAGGCUUCUGUGUUCCCACAUGCCUUUACUGUGGUGCAAGUACCUCUUUGAUAAACUGCAGAAUGACAAGGACUGGGGCUCUGUACUUAUGUGAACACUUUGGACACAUGAAGUGAUGUCGCGAGAGACAGGUUGAUAGAGCUCCUUUGGACUCAGGAAAUAUUUUUCAAGCAGGAAGUAUAACCAGCUAACCUGGAGCAGCCAUGGGUUAGCAGUAGCAUCACCUGCUGUUAUGCGACUCUCACGUCAGUGGUGCUAACCUGACACCAUGCGCUCAUUCCCAAUCCCAAAUAAAACCCCCAAGAAAACCA
ensembl:lncRNA